UAAGCGUACACGGUGGAUGCCUUGGCAGUCAGAGGCGAUGAAGGACGUAGUAACUUGCGAUAAGCCCAGAUUAGGUAGUAACAACCAUUUGAGUCUGGGAUUUCCGAAUGGGGAAACCCACGUGCAUAAGCACGUAUCCUUACCUGAAUACAUAGGGUAAGGAGGCGAACCGGGGGAACUGAAACAUCUAAGUACCCCGAGGAAAAGAAA
rnacentral:rRNA from 1 species